AACUGCGAAUGGCUCAUUAAAUCAGUUAUCGUUUAUUUGAUAGUACCUUACUACUUGGAUAACCGUGGUAAUUCUAGAGCUAAUACAUGCUGAAAACCCCAACUUCGGGAGGGGUGUAUUUAUUAGAUAAAAAACCAACGCCCUUCGGGGCUUCUUGGUGAUUCAUGAUAACUUUACGGAUCGCAUGGCCUUGCGCCGGCGACGGUUCAUUCAAAUUUCUGCCCUAUCAACUUUCGAUGGUAAGGUAUUGGCUUACCAUGGUUUCAACGGGUAACGGGGAAUUAGGGUUCGAUUCCGGAGAGGGAGCCUGAGAAACGGCUACCACAUCCAAGGAAGGCAGCAGGCGCGCAAAUUACCCAAUCCCGACACGGGGAGGUAGUGACAAUAAAUACUGAUACAGGGCUCUUUUGGGUCUUGUAAUUGGAAUGAGUACAAUUUAAACCUCUUAACGAGGAACAAUUGGAGGGCAAGUCUGGUGCCAGCAGCCGCGGUAAUUCCAGCUCCAAUAGCGUAUAUUAAAGUUGUUGCAGUUAAAAAGCUCGUAGUUGAACCUUGGGUCUGGCUGGCAGGUCCGCCUCACCGCGUGUACUUGUCCGGCCGGGCCUUCCUUCUGGAGAACCUCAUGCCCUUCACUGGGCGUGUUGGGGACCAGGACUUUUACUUUGAAAAAAUUAGAGUGUUCAAAGCAGGCCUUUGCUCGAAUACGUUAGCAUGGAAUAAUAGAAUAGGACGUGCGGUCCUAUUUUGUUGGUUUCUAGGACCGCCGUAAUGAUUAAUAGGGACAGUCGGGGGCAUCAGUAUUCAAUUGUCAGAGGUGAAAUUCUUGGAUUUAUUGAAGACUAACUACUGCGAAAGCAUUUGCCAAGGAUGUUUUCAUUAAUCAGUGAACGAAAGUUAGGGGAUCGAAGACGAUCAGAUACCGUCGUAGUCUUAACCGUAAACUAUGCCGACUAGGGAUCGGGCGAUGUUCUUUUUCUGACUCGCUCGGCACCUUACGAGAAAUCAAAGUUUUUGGGUUCUGGGGGGAGUAUGGUCGCAAGGCUGAAACUAAAGAAA
rnacentral:rRNA from 1 species